GGCAUGGCAUGGCAUGGCAUGGCAUGGCAUGGCACGGGGUGGGGUGGAGGCUGGCAUCUAUGAGAACAAUGGCUGUGGGUACCCAGGAGAGGGAGAGAUGCUGUGCUGGAGGGUGGAUCAUAGAGUCACAGAAUGGCAGGGGUUGGAAGGGACUUCUGAAGAUCAUCAAAUUCAAUACCCUGCCAGAGCAGGAUCCUCUCGGGCAGGUCACACAGAAACUGACAGCAGCCCUGUGGAGAAGGAUCUGUGGUGCUGAGGGCUGAAAAGCUGGAGAUGAGCUGGCAUUGUGCACUGCCAGCCCAGGCCCAGCCUUGUCCUGGGCUGAUCUCUGGGAGCAUGGGCAGGGAGAGGAUUCUGCUCCUCUGCUGCACUCUGCUGAGACCCCAGAUGCAGUGCUGGGGCAGCUCUGGAGGCCUCAGCACAGCACAGACAGGGACCUGUUGGAGCAGGGCCAGAGGAGGCCACAGUGGUGCUGGCAGGGCUGGAAGGGCUCUGCUGUGAGGCCAGGCUGGGAGAGUUGGACUUGGUCAGCCUGGAGAAGAGAAGGCUCCAGGGAGACCUUAUGGUGGCCUUGCAGGGCUUAAAGGGGAAAGCUGGUGACAGACUUUUGAGCAAGGACAGGACAAGGAGGGGUGGUUUGAGACAAAAGAGGGAGAUUCAGACUGGAGAGAAGGGAGAAAUGUUUGACAGAGGGUGGGGAGAGCCUGGCCCAGGCUGCCCAGAUUGGUGGGAGCUGCCCCAGCCCUGGCACAGUGCAGCUCAGGUUGGUUGUGGCUGUGAGCAACCUGCUUUGGUCGCAGCUGUGCCUGGAGACUUGCAGGAGGGUUGGACUGGAUGAGCUUGAAAGGUUCCUUCCCACCCAAACCAGUCUGGGAUUCUCUGACUCUGUGCUGUGCUGGGUCCAGAUCUUCUGCCAGACCACACCAACACGCAGCUGGCCUCAGGACCAGUUCAGGCCCAGCUGUGGGAGCUGAUGCAGCCCCACCAGAUAAGGAUCCACUCAUUCCUGCCACGUCUUCGCCUCGUCUGCAGGCUGGAAAAAACACCCUGAGCAUCCCUCAGGCAUCUCAGCAUCCCUCUGGAGCAGGAAUUUCAGCCCAGGGAGGAGAAUGGACAUUGACUCACUCCACCACACUGUGAGUCAGCAGCAGGACUGGGACAGGAACCACAGCUGGGGACUUCUGCCCUUGUUUUUACCCCUUUCAAUCAUGCUCCUCCCUGGAUGGAUCCCAACCUCCCAGGGCAGGAAUGGGAUGAGGGAAAGAGUUGCUGUGCUGCAGCCUCCCUCCAGCCUCUUCCCUCGCGUCCACGAGGGGAGGUGCAGGAUGGAGGCUGCAGCACAACAGAGCUCCUUGUGCCAUAUCAAAGCCACUUUCCAUCAGGAGGAAGCCCUGCAAGUGCUCAUGGAGAGUGCAGCACUCCCUGGUGGCUCAUAAACUCCUCCAAAGAAUUGUGGCGUGCUAAAAAGUUUCCUCUUGAUAAAAUUGCUGGGAAGAGGGAGAAAAGGGAGGAAGUGGCAGCUCCUGAAGCAACAUCAUCAAGGUGCCCUCAGAUAUAGCUGAAGAUCUUUCCUGUCAUUCUGGGCUGAUGGCCAGAUGUGGAUGCAGCUGGCACAGGUUGGCACUGUGGUUACCACCAGGUCCCAGGGCCGCGUCCCCAGCAGCCCUGCCGUGUGCCUCGGGUGCUUGACCUUCCAUGCCCGGAGCAUCCCUGAGAGCCAUCGACCUCUGCCCGCAGCAGCUGGGGAGGAAAGGCAGGCAGGAAACCUCCACUGCUCACCCUCCUGCCUGCUCUCGGGAUGCCAGGCGCGGGGCGAAUGCAGAGCAGGACCCGCACAGACCUCCCUGGUGAGGAGGAGCAGAAGGUGGCCGUUGCCUGUGGCAUUGGAUGCCCAGGAAGAACUGGGAGGCGAUCAUAAAACUGGGUGCCCGUCGCCCCCCCGCAGCCCGCCGCGGGACGCUCUGCCCGGGCAGGAAAGGACUCGGUGUUUCCACUGCCGGCACACACCUUCCUCCCUCCCGGCAAAGGAAACGCUGCUGCCGCCUGGCAGCGCUGCCUGCCCCACGGCACACGCCCCUGCCCAUGGCCCCCUGGCCCCUCCCAUGGUGGGCAGGCAGGGCGCCCAAGCCCUGAGGAUAGAGGGGCAACGGGUGUGGAGCGUUCCUGUGGGCAUCCUGCCCUCGCUGCUCCCUUCACGCCCCGGGGCACCCUCCUGGGCACGGAUUCUGUCCCAGUGGGGCAUAGAGGGGUGUUGGGAGCAGUGUGUCCCACCACUGGCAUUCUGUCCAAUAAACACCCCAGGGACCACGCUGGUGGCAUGCACUCCUGGGUACCUAUGCCG